GAUGAACGCUGGCGGCGUGCCUAAUACAUGCAAGUCGAGCGAACAGAUAAGGAGCUUGCUCCUUUGACGUUAGCGGCGCACGGGUGAGUAACACGUGGGUAACCUACCUAUAAGACUGGAAUAACUCCGGGAAACCGGGGCUAAUGCCGGAUAACAUUUAGAACCGCAUGGUUCUAAAGUGAAAGAUGGUUUUGCUAUCACUUAUAGAUGGACCCGCGCCGUAUUAGCUAGUUGGUAAGGUAACGGCUUACCAAGGCAACGAUACGUAGCCGACCUGAGAGGGUGAUCGGCCACACUGGAACGGAGACAGGGUACAUAGGCCUAGGGGAGGCAGCAGUAGGGAAUCGGCCGCAAUGGGCGAAAGCCUGACGGAGCAACGCCGAGGGAGGGAGGAAGGUCGUCGGAUCGUAAAAGUCGGUUAUCAGGGAAGAACAAAUGUGUACGUAACUGUGCACGUCUUGACGGUAACUAAUCAGAAAGGCACGGCUAACUACGUG
rnacentral:rRNA from 1 species